rnacentral:rRNA from 1 species
AGGUCUGGGUAAUCUUGUGAAACUCCGUCGUGCUGGGGAUAGAGCAUUGUAAUUCUUGCUCUUCAACGAGGAAUUCCUAGUAAGCGCAAGUCAUCAGCUUGCGUUGAUUACGUCCCUGCCCUUUGUACACACCGCCCGUCGCUAGUACCGAUUGAAUGGCUUAGUGAGGCCUCAGGAUCUGCUUAGAGAAGGGGGCAACUCCAUCUCAGAGCGGAAAAUCUGGUCAAACUUGGUCAUUUAGAGGAACUAAAAGUCGUAACAAGGUUUCCGUAGGUGAACCUGCGGAAGGAUCAUUAAAGA